AAACACUGCAUCAUGAAGCUUCGGAGAGUUGUGAUUCUUUUGUGUCGAAUCAGCAGUUCGGAGCGCCAAAGUCACGUGAUUUCAGCAGUUUGGCGGUUUGACACGCGAUCCGAAUCAUGAUUCGACACAAAAGAUUCAUAACGCUCCGAAGCUUCCUGACGCAGUGUUUUGAAAUCGGCCAUCACUAUAUAAGUCGUUAUUUUGUUUUUUUUGGCGCACCAAAAAUAUUCUCGUCGCUUUAUAAUAUUAAUAUUGAACCACUGUACUCACAUGAACUGAUUUAAAUAUGUUUUUAGUACAUUAAUGGAUCUUGAGAGAGGAAAUUUCAUUGCUGGCUAUGCAGGACUCACUGAGCCAUCGGAUUUAAUCAAAAAUAUCGGCGAGGAUCACUGCUGUGGAGGUGUGUUGGAAAAAUAGGGCAGUCGAAAGCAAUGCUAAAUUACUCCAGAGUGGUUUUUACUUUGAACAUGGAUUGACUGAAAGGUUUCUGCUGUUUUAUGGCCUGGGUUAACCACAAGAUACUCCUGUCAACCCAUAUGGCAAAGGGCAUCUCAGGAACUGCACUACAGUGUUUCAAGUCUUACCUCUCUGAUGAUCCGACGGUAGCUGCUCGCAAUCUCAGCCUGCCUGACAAACACCAAUCCGAUUGGAGUGGGGGAUGCAAGUUCUUGCCAUUUUGUGCAUCAGGUGGUCAGUGAAACAACCGUGGGCAGUCUGAGGCUGAGGCUAUUUAUCUGUAAAGUUGGUAAUGUCACUGGUGGGAUUGGACUGCGCAGAUCAUUAUAUCUGUGGCAAGCAGGGUUAUGGUCGUGUACACAAAUUGCAUUAGUCAUUUAAACAAUUUGUUCACUGUAUAGGAUAUUCAGAUGAAAGUUUAUAGUUGUUCAGGGAUUAAUUAUUAGCAGAUGAAGUGUUGAAUAGGGAAAAUGUGGGCAGCACUACAGCAUGCACCAGCAGAUUAAAAGUAAUGUGUCUCCUUAUUAGAGAACAUGAGGGCAAUCUUCAAGCAAGAAUAGAUCUGAAGAUCAUACGUCCCUCAUCUCUGUCUGUAUCUCUCAGCCCACAUAUCCUCUAACCUUGUUACAGUGUCUUCCCACAAAACAGCAGCUGUGAAGUCGGCACAAGCCCAUUUGCGGGUCAUUGUAUUGAAACCAUGUCAGAGAGAGAAACAUGCAUAUGUGAAAGAAAGGAAAGAGAUCUGUGCGAGAGAGUAAACAAACAAGAAUUUUAAUUUCCA